rnacentral:tRNA from 1 species
GCCACGAUAGCCGAGUGGUUAGAGGCAAGGACUGCAAAGCUUAGAAGUACUGUGUAGUUCUGGGUUCAAUUCUCGGUCUUGGCC